UGCUUCCGGUAAAUGAUCGAGAAGUAUGACCUGCCCGGUGGUUAGACGACUAAACGGCUGCGGUACUCUGACUGUGCAAAGGUAGCAUAAUCAUUAGCCUAGUAAUUCUAGGCUGGCAUCAACGGUUGGACGAUGGGAAAGCUGUCUCUUUUUAUAGAAAUUGAAAUUAAUAUUAAGGUGAAGAAGCCUUUAUAAAGUAAUGGGACGAGAAGACCCUAUAGAGUUUUAAUUUGUUAUUAUAAAUUUAAUUUAGUAGGAAUUUGGGUUGGGGCAAUUCUUCUUUAAAUAAAACAAGGGUAAGAUAAAAUGAUUUGUAUCUAUUAAGACCCAAAAUUUUUUUGGGAAUAAAAAUAAAUUACCUUAGGGAUAACAGCGUAAUUUCUUUUGAGAGUACUUAUUGACANNNNNNNNNNCCUCGAUGUUGGAUCAAGAUAUCCUGGGUGUGCAGUCGCCUCCAAAGG
rnacentral:rRNA from 1 species